rnacentral:ncRNA from 2 species
CUACCUUUGCACCCGAAUGGUGAUUCAAAAAUACCUCAUUGGCUUGGGGUAGAAUUGAAAAGGGAAUCCGGUGCAAAUCCGGAACUGAGUCCCCAGCUGUAAGUUCCUGUAACUUAGAUUUUGCACAGCAUAAGUCAUUUUUUCCGAAUAGGAAAAGAGAAGACAAGCAAAAUCGGAACAAGUCAGAAGACCUGCCAUCGACAACUCUAUUUG